CAGUAGCCGCGGGAAUACGGAGGGUGCAAGCGUUAAUCGGAAUUACUGGGCGUAAAGCGCACGCAGGCGGUCUGUCAAGUCAGAUGUGAAAUCCCCGGGCUUAACCUGGGAACUGCAUUUGAAACUGGCAGGCUAGAGUCUUGUAGAGGGGGGUAGAAUUCCAGGUGUAGCGGUGAAAUGCGUAGAGAUCUGGAGGAAUACCGGUGGCGAAGGCGGCCCCCUGGACAAAGACUGACGCUCAGGUGCGAAAGCGUGGGGAGCAAACAGGAUUAGAUACCCCUGUAGUCCCUGUCUCUCAUAC
rnacentral:rRNA from 1 species